rnacentral:lncRNA from 1 species
GCUUAAUCAUGUUGUUCUUCAGCACCUCGAGAUCCUUUAUACUGAAUGGAAAAGUAAAUAUCUUCACAAAUAAAAUGUUCCUGAAUGCAUUUGUAGGGAUAUUGCUCAAUUAUUUUUCCCUUACAUUUGACAGUUUGCAUCUUUCGUUUGCAGGUGCAAGAUUCAUUUCCAUUUUCUAUUGGAUUUGCUUCUGAUGAAGGGCCGAUCUGCACAGUGACAAAUGACACGUUGUUUCCUAAGCUGCAUCCUUUUCCAAGUCUAAAGAUGCUUACUUUGCACCGAAGUGGCACAUUUCACAUGGAAGCCUUUUACACGAACCAGAAUGAGUUGCCUUCAGGUGUAUCUACAAGAAUCAGCUCUUUUACGGUAUAUAUGGAUUACUUUGUGCAGUUUUCUUCUACGGUUUCUGCACCUAGAGUUGACCAAUGUGCAAACUUGACCUGAAACACAACUCUUCCCUGUAAGGGGAAAAGUUAUUUUUCCUUCUUUGGAUUUCAAACCUUGGAUAGUUCACCAUGUGGUCUUGGCUUUAAUUUGCAGAAGAUAAUUGCUCAGAAACAUUGCACAUUUGAAAAAAAACCUUUAUAAGGAAUAUCUUUAUUCUGGAUCAUUAAUUUUAACAAAUAACAUAUUGUCAUGAUACAUUGUUAUCAAGAAAACAGAGAUCUAAACCAAUUGUAUUAUAGAUGAAAAUCAAAUAAAUUUUUCGUAUAAAUGGGGAAAUUAUUUAAUAAAUUAGUUAUUUGAAGGUACCAUGGAUGUUUGGGGAUUAUCAAACUCUAGUGUAGAUAUAAUGUUACUACAUUAAUCUGGUCUCAUAAGUGAAAGGUAGCACCUUUGAAGACGAUGAAAUUAGAAAACCAAUUGAUUCGUACAGAAUUCCUAUUGAAGUUUGAGCUUUCCAUUUUUCCCGUCUUGCAUAAAUUUCUUUGAAUUAAUUAUUGUAAGGCUUUUAUUGUUGCUUGACUUCUAUUUUGAAACAAACUACUUCUUUUUUCUUUUUCUUUUUCUUUUCCUUUUCUUUUUUAGAUUGGUCCAUUCAAAGUUCCUCAUUUGGAAAAGAUGAAGAUUAAAGUAAGAGUCAACUUAAACCUCCAUGGAAUUGUUACCAUAGAGUCUGCUUCGGUAGGUAUAAGUUAUAUUUGUAAUUCUUUGAAGUUUAUCAAGUUAUUAGGGACUAUGGAAAAUGAGAUGCCUAUUUUUAGUGUAAGCUGUACUGUCUUGGCAGCUGGUGGAGGUUAAUUCGAAUGAUUCUACUAAGAAGAAUGAUGGCACUCUCUCAGACAAGAUGGAGCCAACCAAACAAGAAUCUUCCAGCAAAGCAAAUGGGGCUGCUGUAAGUUCAGUUAAAACAAAUGAUCUUUCAAAAUUUUCAUUAAUUGUCAAGUUGGAUCAUUUAAAGCUCUCCACUAUGUUUGAGAGAGAAAAUGUUGGCUUGCUUGAUAUUAAAUGUAGCACUAAUUACUGUGCUUUGACCCUUAAGAAUUUCUGCUAUUUAUCUUGUUCACAAGACCACCCUUACACAACUUUUCAAGAUUGUAGCUUGUGAUGCUCGGACUCUCCAUUCCGGUCGGAGUACCCAUAUCGACACGAUACAAGUACGGGUAUGAAAUAUGGGGCGUAUACAACACUUUUCAACUUGGACCUUGCUGGAUGGAUAGUCCAGGGCGCGGGGCCCACAGGCACCCCCUCCAAUAGGAGGGUGCCAAUUAGGCCCCCUAUUUGGAUAGGGCCUACGUGGCCUUGUCUAAGAAGAUUUGUCCUUUCAACUUGACACAACAGGAUGGAGAAUGGCAUCUAGGUCUUCCCUUCUUCUUUCCUUUUUUCUUUUCCUUUUCUUCUCUCCUGUUUCUGCUCUUCGGAGGGAGGGGGAGGUUCGGUGGCGUCAUAACCAAGGAAGAAGAGGCCUCAGGCGGCGUGGCUGAAGCAUGUGGAGGGUCGGAGUAGAGAGAAGGAAGAGAAAAUCGAAGAGAGAGAAAGUGAAUGGAAAAUAAUGACCUUCUAGGUUAAUAACUGGUCUUUUAUUAGGCUUCAAGGUUAAUAAUAGACUUUUAUUUCUAUGCAUGUAGACUUAUGAUUUACAACUUUGUUUGGCUCAUUUAUUUUUUAUUUAAAAAAAAAUAAAAUCUUAAAACUUAUUAUUAAUUUUUGAAAGUAUAUAUUUAUACAAUAACUUAUUAUUUUAGUAUAAAUUUUUAGUUAAUUUUAAGCGACAUGUUCUAUUUUUUAACAAUUGUCAUUUAGUUAUCAUUUAACUAUUUACAUGUGAAUUGUUGAAGAAAAAAUUGAAGUUUGAGAGAUGCACCGAAAUUUGGACUCUUUUCAGCUAUGUCUCUGUAUCCUACAUUUCAGAAAAUAAAAAAUCCAACACUUAAAUACUUACCCAUACCCGAGCUCGAGCAUCAAAGAAGCUUCCUCAAUUUUGAAUUAUAAACCAUAGCUUUCCUCAAUUUUGAAUUAUAAACCACUGACUUGUAUAUGUAAUGUUAACUAACAUUUUUAUGCUCAUCUGAACUAAGGGGGAAAAAAGAGAGAGAAACUUCAUUUAAAAAUACAUCAACUCUGUGCAUGUUGAGUAAGAUUUGCAAAUGCUUAUCAUUGUCUUGUUAGUUGGCAAAAUUUUGUUACACUCUUAUUCCAUGCUUAAUAUUUCAGCACAUAAUCACACUGGUUCAUUGGUGAUCCCCUGUGGUUAAUCCAUUUUAGAAGGGCUCAGAAUAAACUGUGAUCCAACUUCCAAGCAAACCAGACUAGUUAUUGCCAUCAUUAACAUUUUCUUUUGGACUCAAGCAAUCUGAACUUCCUUGUUUUGCCAUCAUGUUUCCUUAAGUGGCUUUCUACCCUUAAAACUCUCAUAUUUCCUUCUUUACAAGGUUUAUUUGGCACUUAACCAUCACAUUCUACGUCAAGUUAAUGACUCCAUCUUUAUCCAGUUUACUCUUCUUCGAACCUUAAAGUAACAUAAGUUCAUCCCUUUAUUUUCCACCAUCUAGUUAUAUAAUCUUUUACCUUUUUACUCUCUUCCCUUCUUUUCUUAAUGACCACAUCAAGCAUCACUAAGCUAUGUUUCAUAGUUAGGCUUUUGCAAGACACCCAUCUUAUGAGAAUGAAAUCUAUUUUUCUAUGCUUUUGCCUAUUAUUAGCUAACAAGUGAAAUUCUUUCUUUCUGAAGCAAGUAUUCACUAAUAUUAAAUCACAAGCCAUCAUAAAAUACGGAAAAGUGAUGCCUUCUACAUUCUAUGUUUCAAAUCUAAAAUUUCCAUGAGGCGUUUCGUAAUCGUAAUUACCUUUUCCACAUGUAUGCUGGAAAUCCAAAGCACUGGUAUCUCCUUGUGCAGGCUGUCACACGGCAUGAUAUAACCAUUGACGAGAAUAUAUAUGGCGGAAUGACACCCCACGAACUCUCUCAAGCCCAAGAAAAAGAGCUUCAGUUGGCCCAGCAAGACAUAAUGAUGGAGAGGACUAAAGAUAAGAAAAAUUCACUGGAGUCUUAUGUAUAUGAAGCGCGAAAUAAGGUACAAAUUUAUGCUUUACCUGGGAUAAAAUCAUUUAACCUGAUUUUAUUAUUUAUGGUAUAACAACUUAAUCUGAGGAAAAAAAAUGUCAGUGCCACACUGACACUACAAGUAGAAAACUUUUUAUGGUUUUGUGUCAUAUAGAAGUUAUCACCAGCAAUGCCAUAGUAACUUGGGCAUUCCUUGAUGCUCAUUUUUUCCAAAAACCUACAUGGUGCACUAUUUGAGGGAAAAUAGCUGGAUCUGAAAUUCAAAAACAACAGCAGGGCAAUUUAAGCAAUAGAAUGAUCAAUGUGUAAACCCACUUCUAUUAUUUCGGCUGCUGCUUCAUUUGAAGCAUGCAGUAACUGGCAUAUUGUUAGAGACGCCUUUUCACCUUUCUUUAAUAUUGUGAACUCUGUUCUAGUAGUUAUAAUUGCAGUCAUCCUUUCAUGUAGAUUUUGACGAAUUCUGAUGAUUUUGGUAAUUAAAGUUUUGGGUUUUUUAGAUGCCGAAGUUUCUUUACUUGUCCUUCUUUUGAAAUCAUUAAUGUAAAAGAUUUUCAAGAUUCCCAAAACUAUGUCCUUGUCUUUCAGUCUGAUAUCUCGAGCGUGGCAUUCUAUAAUGUGGAAAGUGAAUUGUAGUUCAGUUCAUUGCCUUUAGUGUUUCUUACAUCUUUAAGAAUGAGUAAAAACAUUUGAACAGAUUUUAAACGAGUAUAGAAGCUUUGCAACUGAUUUAGAAAGGGAAGGGAUCUCCAAUAAUUUACAACAAACUGAGGAAUGGCUCUAUGAAGACGGAGAUGAUGAGUCUGAAAGUGUUUAUACAGAGAAAUUAGAGGAUCUGAAAAAGGUUCUUUUGACUUCCUGUUUAGAGUACUCAAGUUUAUACUUCUUUUGAGAUUUAUAGACAGCCAACACUGGAAAAAAAUAAAAAUAAAUAAAAAUUAAUAAAAUUGUUCAUUAGAUUGUGGAUCUUGUUGAACAUCGAUACAAAGAGGAAGAAGCCAGGGCACAGGCAACCAGAAGUCUACUAAACUGCGUAGUGGAGUAUCGCAUGGCUGUAGGAUCACUUCCACCCAGCGAAAGAGAUGUACGUUCCCUUCUUGUAUGAUUUUUUUUUUUUUUUAAUAUGAUUAGCCGAAAGAGUAAUUAUGUGGUGACUUUUAUUUUGCAGGUCAUUGAUGAAUGCAAUAAAGCAGAGCAGUGGCUUCGAGAAAAAACCCAAGAGCAGGAUUCAUUACCCAAAAAUGCAGAUCCAAUACUCUUGUCAAGUGAAAUCAAGAGGAAAGCCGAGGCUCUGGAAGCGUAUGUCUCUGAACUUAUUGAUCGUAGUCAAUUGCUUUGCAACUCAGUUUAUAUAUAUUUGGACCAACCAAAAAUGAUUAAAAUGUUCUGUAAAAUCAAUGUUGAACAUGCCUGUUGCAAUGUUAAUUAGAAAUUUCUCCUCACGGUUGAGUACUGUGUACUGUGUCAAGUGCUUUACUGAGUUUCUAUAUUUCUGUUAUUGCUUAUUUCCAGUGAAAUGUGAAUGCUGUUAAUUUCACGAAAUUCAUUUUCAGGAUUUGCAGACAUACAUUGGCGUCCAAGUCUUCAUCUGCAAGGCCCGAGGAAAACAGAGAAUCAGAGACGAGAGAUCCAACGGAUGAUAUUCAUGCUGAUUGAUGUGAAUCUAGCAAGAUUGUGAUACUAAAAGAGCUGGAGUACUAGAAACAGCUAGAUCAAUCACCGCAGGAUUAAUUUGGAUAUAAUUCUUAAGACUACUCACUGCAAGCUGUCAUUCUCGCACGGAACUCGUAAGUUAUUAUUCUUAGUUUUUAUUUUCUGUUAUAUGUUAAUUUUCCUCUGAGAUAGAAUAGUGUGCUAAUUCAACCCAAGUUACAGACACUUGUAUACUACUACUCUCUCUACUGUCCCCCUACAACAGUUCUUACAGUACAUUCAACACGGGUCAAUUCCUUGACGCUGUAAUAGAAGUUAGAGUCCUCCAUAUUUAAGCACCCUUGAUGGAUGUAGAACAGAAAAAUUCUCCUCAAGGGAUUAGUGGCUUGACAUUUUUAUCUUCAUGGCUGCAUUUUGCUUCUUCAACCAUGUCUUCUAAUUUAGCAUAUUCCACCAACUGUUCAAAUUCUGUUAUAAUAACAAUUUCUUUUCG